GUGUCAGCAGCCGCGGUAAUACGAAGGGGACUAGCGUUAAUCGGAAUUACUGGGCGUAAAGCGUGCGCAGGCGGUUAUAUAAGUCAGAUGUGAAAUCCCCGGGCUCAACCUGGGACCUGCAUUUGAGACUGUAUAGCUAGAGUACGGUAGAGGGGGAUGGAAUUCCGCGUGUAGCAGUGAAAUGCGUAGAUAUGCGGAGGAACACCGAUGGCGAAGGCAAUCCCCUGGACCUGUACUGACGCUCAUGCACGAAAGCGUGGGGAGCAAACAGGAUUAGAUACCCUGGUAGUCCACGCCCUAAACGAUGUCAACUGGUUGUUGGGAAUUCACUUUCUCAGUAACGAAGCUAACGCGUGAAGUUGACCGCCUGGGGAGUACGGCCGCAAGAUUAAAACUUAAAGGAAUUGACGG
rnacentral:rRNA from 1 species